rnacentral:rRNA from 1 species
UACGAAGGGGGCUAGCGUUGUUCGGAAUUACUGGGCGUAAAGGGCUCGUAGGUGGCCAAUUAAGUCAGACGUGAAAUCCCCAGGCUUAACCUGGGAACUGCGUCUGAUACUGGUUGGCUUGAAUUCGGGAGAGGGAUGCAGAAUUCCAGGUGUAGCGGUGAAAUGCGUAGAUAUCUGGAGGAAUACCGGUGGCGAAGGCGGCAUCCUGGACCGAGAUUGACACUGAGGAGCGAAAGCCAGGGGAGCAAACGGG